rnacentral:rRNA from 1 species
GAUGAACGCUGGCGGCGUGCUUAACACAUGCAAGUCGAACGGUGAAGCAGGAGCUUGCUCCUGUGGAUCAGUGGCGAACGGGUGAGUAACACGUGAGCAAUCUGCCCUGGACUCUGGGAUAAGCGUUGGAAACGACGUCUAAUACCGGAUACGAGGCGUGGGGGCAUCCCCAACGCCUGGAAAGAAUUUCGGUCCAGGAUGAGCUCGCGGCCUAUCAGGUAGUUGGUGAGGUAACGGCUCACCAAGCCUACGACGGGUAGCCGGCCUGAGAGGGUGACCGGCCACACUGGGACUGAGACACGGCCCAGACUCCUACGGGAGGCAGCAGUGGGGAAUAUUGCACAAUGGGCGCAAGCCUGAUGCAGCAACGCCGCGUGAGGGACGACGGCCUUCGGGUUGUAAACCUCUUUCAGCAGGGAAGAAGCGAAAGUGACGGUACCUGCAGAAAAAGCACCGGCUAACUACGUGCCAGCAGCCGCAGUAAAAC